AAGUCGUAACAAGGUUUCCGUAGGUGAACCUGCGGAAGGAUCAUUAUAGAUUUGAUAUACAUAUCAUAACACUUAUAGACCGAAAAGCUUUGGCGGCUUGCCGUCAAAGACCAAACUAACCAACUUAACUUGUCAACUAACAAAAUAAUUAAAACUUUCAACAACGGAUCUCUUGGUUCUC
rnacentral:misc_RNA from 1 species